rnacentral:rRNA from 1 species
AUUGAACGCUGGCGGCAGGCUUAACACAUGCAAGUCGAGCGGGGGAAGGUAGCUUGCUACCGGACCUAGCGGCGGACGGGUGAGUAAUGCUUAGGAAUCUGCCUAUUAGUGGGGGACAACAUCUCGAAAGGGAUGCUAAUACCGCAUACGUCCUACGGGAGAAAGCAGGGGAUCUUCGGACCUCGCGCUAAUAGAUGAGCCUAAGUCGGAUUAGCUAGUUGGUGGGGUAAAGGCCUCCCAAGGCGACGAUCUGUAGCGGGUCUGAGAGGAUGAUCCGCCACACUGGGACUGGGACACGGCCCAGACUCCUACGGGAGGCAGCAGUGGGGAAUAUUGGACAAUGGGGGGAACCCUGAUCCAGCCAUGCCGCGUGUGUGAAGAAGGCCUUAUGGUUGUAAAGCACUUUAAGCGAGGAGGAGGCUACUCUAGUUAAUACCUAGGGAUAGUGGACGUUACUCGCAGAAUAAGCACCGGCUAACUCUGUGCCAGCCGCCGCCGUAA